CGCCUGCGCCUGCGCGCCCGGCCGACCCUUUUCACGCGCCCCCUCACCGCCUCCCCCGCGCAUGCGCCGUGGGCGCCUCAGAAGGAUGAGCAGUCAAAUGUCUGAGAAAAGACAGCCCUCCGUGUGCAGAAGCGGCUAGCAGAGAAAGCACGACAAUACCUUGUGUGAUUCAUUCUUCCCAGUACUUCCAGGCACUUUGCCAUGGCAAGCUGUUUAUGGGUUCUGUCGUCCAACCAUGCUGCUGCGGCUUAGUCCUUGAAGUGCUUCAUUGCGACUGCUGACAAGGAAUAUAUUGCAAAAUCCUCAGAUGAUGAGUUCACAGAGCAUUUUCUCCACACACACAUCAGAGCUGAACUGUCUAUAUCUAUUCUAAUUCCCGCUUCUAGCAAGUCUGGUGCAAAUCUAUAUGUGGACAGUAUUUCAAAUUAAGAGUCUUGAUUUAAUUUAAGGAGGCUUUCUUUUUGACUGACUUUAAUUAAGUCAAGAUAGGAAAUUCUUGCUCCUAAAUGAGUGUUCGCACAUAACCUUGGUCUGACAUACGUGCAACUGUGAAGGAAAGCCGAUUCAGUUACCUUUAGAAAACAGCUCAGGAUGGCAUCAGAAGUCCACUUGUUGCAUCGUUGCAGAAAGCCCCCUUGAACCUUGCUGCCCCAGCAGAGGAGCAUGUUGGUGGGACACCAGGCCCUGUGGCAUGGCCUAGAAGGAGAUGUCCAGAAACAGCAGAGCUGAGCCCUUUGCAGGCUGCCGGGAGGACAGAAACAGAUUGGCUUCAGCACUCGCCCCAUCCACCCAGCUGAAGCUUGGCCCAGAUGCCGCCAGUGCUGCCCACAGACGCGGCCUCUGCGGGGCCAGAGACUCGUGGCGGCCCUGGAGCACGCUCACCCCGUCUCGGCCGCCGGCCACGGCACAGCCUCUGCAAGCUCCUGCACCAAAUCAGUAAGGACGCCUUCAGGAAACAUUUCCAGAGAGACGCUGUCCUGUCAGUCUGCUGGAUUAUCUCUGAGAAAGUUCUCCUUAGUUGGCAGAAGAGUGCACAUAUUUCUUCAGCUUAGUGUGAUCAGAAUCUGCCAGCCCCGGGAGAUUUGCUCUGUAAAUAAAUAACUUUGGCAUCAGGAAUUAGGAAGGGAGAAAGCCAGCAGUAGUUGUCCCAAAACAUUCUCUCCUCUCCCUAUAAAUCUCACACAGAAUUAAAUGUUUCUGUGUGGGAGACAUGGAUGUGUGUGUAUUUCUAACAUUACUCUGGAAACUUUCCUACCACCAUGCAUGCAAGGCAACUGAAUAGCCUGAACAGCAGUAAAUGGAGAAUGAACUGAAAGUUUUGCUUGGAUUUUGCUUUACAUCUUGUCCUUUGGUAUUUAAAGGUGCAAAGAGGCACCUAGUGAGGCUGAAUGAAGCAAGGCAUAAAUGCUUUUAUCAAUACAGACUUACAUCUCUAAGUCACUUCUGGCUUAAGAGCCCAAGUCACUUUGGCACGUUUGAAAACAUGACUCCAGGAGUUACCAGGGCAUUUGGAAAGCUGAGGGUUGCGAAGCUUUUGAUCUCUGUUGGCACAGCACUUAAUACUGUGGAGCCCUUAGCUGUAAUGCAGUCCCUUAACAAUAUGGCAGCAUUACUACUUACAAUAAUAGGAGGCAGAAAGUGUGCCUAGCCCAGAGGCUUACUGCUGCAGAAAAUUUUUAAGUAGCAAAUGUUUUCAUUGGUUACAAAGUCAUUGCAAAGCCUGGAAAGAGUGAGAAAAAAUCCACAUAUCCUCUGUGCGAGCAGCAGCAGCCUGUGUAAAACCUGGCAUUCCUCCAUCAGCAUCCCCCAGUCGUGAUAGUGGCAUAUUCAUUCCCUACUCAAACUGAUGUGGAAAGUACUCUGAUUUCUAUUUAAAUUGGCAAUGGUUUAGGUCCUCUCCUUUGAAGCAAAAACAUCAAAGCAACUUACUGUACAUCUAAGGUCACGAUGCAGUCUUCUUUCUGUCUGAAACCAGGACUUCCACCUCACCACAAGCAAACUCCAGUUAUUUCCAUGUCCUUCAAUAAGCAGAAUAUUCAGAACCUUUCCAUGUGUGCCUUUUGCUUUGCUUUGUUCAGCUGAGCGCCGGGAGGAGAAACUGUGUUCUCUCUUUUUUUCUCAUGUAAUGCCAAAGGGAGUGUUGUUGCUCUGCUUUUUAGAAAAAUAUGAAAUCCUAAAAAUUUCACCUUGACAGCUGGGGAAAAAAGACAUGUCCUCUCCGACCCUGUACUUUAUUUUUUCUGUCCCCAGAAUAAGAAGACGAAUUUGCUUUCUAUUGCUUUUGCUCCUUGUGCAAUGAAUGUAUUUGCUGCUUCUUUGAAUGUCAGGAUGAACAUCUGGUUUUGGUGCUCACCGGUCUGCCAAGUCGGGAAGCUUUGAAUAUUUUGCCAAACCAUUUACCCAGCCCUGAAUUUAUAACUAAUAUCGGGAAAAUCACUAGGGGAAAAUGUAAGCAACUGCGGACUGUGUAACAGCCAAUGUCAAUUCUUCAAGUAUAAUUUUUACUGUAUUAAUUUUAUCAAUAUGUGGUUCACAGACAGCUGUAUCUGAUUCACAGCAGUAUAUUCAUAUCGAUGAGCUGCUUUAAAAAUAUGUAACCCAAAUAAUUUCAUAAUGAAUGUACGUUAGUGAAAUAUUUUUAGGGGAUAAAAAUGGACUUUGGAACUGAGUCAUGAGGAAGUGAUAAAUAUGAAGCACAACAAGUUGCCUGAAUGUUUUAAGAAACAAAAUAUAGAGCUUCAAAGCUUCAGAAGAGUCACGUAAAUAAAGAACAAAACUGUUCCA